UACAGAGGUCCCAAGCGUUGUUCGGAUUCACUGGGCGUAAAGGGUGCGUAGGCGGUCGGGUAAGUCUGAUGUGAAAUCUCCGGGCUCAACCCGGAAAUGGCAUUGGAUACUAUUCGGCUCGAGGUCUGGAGGGGGGACUGGAAUACUUGGUGUAGCAGUGAAAUGCGUAGAUAUCAAGUGGAACACCAGUGGCGAAGGCGAGUCCCUGGACAGAUCCUGACGCUGAGGCACGAAGGCUAGGGGAGCAAACAGG
rnacentral:rRNA from 1 species